AAGGAUCAUUACAGAGUUCAUGCCCUUCGGGGUAGAUCUCCCACCCUCUGUGUAUCAUUAUAGAAUGUUGCUUUGGCGGGCCGCGUGCCCCGCACGCCUCCAUUCCCGUCCAGCGUGUCCCCCCGAGGACCCCUAAACUCUGAAUGUUAGUGUCCUCCCAGUACCAUUAAAUAGUUAAAACUUUCACCACGGAUCUCUUGGUUCUGGCCUCGAUGAAGAACGCAGCGAAAUGCGAUAAGUAAUGUGAAUUGCAGAAUUCAGUGAAUCAUCGAAUCUUUGAACGCACAUUGCGCCUCUUGGUAUUCCGGGGGGCAUGCCUGUUCGAGCGUCAUUUAUACCAAUCUAGCCUGGCUAGGUGUUGGGCUUCGCCGUUUGGCGGGCCUUAAAACCAGUGGCGGUGCUCUUAGGCUCUACGCGUAGUAAUUUUCUCGCUAUAGGGUCCUGGGAGAUGUUUGCCAGCAACCCCAAAUUUUUCUAGGUUGACCUCGGAUCAGGUAGGGAUACCCGCUGAACUUAA
rnacentral:rRNA from 1 species